GAUGAACGCUGGCGGCGUGCCUAAUACAUGCAAGUCGAGCGAACGGACGAGAAGCUUGCUUCUCUGAUGUUAGCGGCGGACGGGUGAGUAACACGUGGAUAACCUACCUAUAAGACUGGGAUAACUUCGGGAAACCGGAGCUAAUACCGGAUAAUAUUUUGAACCGCAUGGUUCAAAAGUAAAAGACGGUCUUGCUGUCACUUAUAGAUGGAUCCGCGCUGCAUUAGCUAGUUGGUAAGGUAACGGCUUACCAAGGCAACGAUGCAUAGCCGACCUGAGAGGGUGAUCGGCCACACUGGAACUGAGACACGGUCCAGACUCCUACGGGAGGCAGCAGUAGGGAAUCUUCCGCAAUGGGCGAAAGCCUGACGGAGCAACGCCGCGUGAGUGAUGAAGGUCUUCGGAUCGUAAAACUCUGUUAUUAGGGAAGAACAUAUGUGUAAGUAACUGUGCACAUCUUGACGGUACCUAAUCAGAAAGCCACGUCUAACUACGUG
rnacentral:rRNA from 1 species